CAGGCCAUGGACAUUCCCCAUGGCCUUCAGUGGUAACAUGGGCCAUGAGCAUCACCAUGGCCUUAGGCACAGGGCAUGUACAUCAGCAUGGUCUCUAGCAUCAACAUGGCCCACAGAAUCAACAUGGUCUCCAGUGUGACUACAGACCAUGGACACCUUCAUGGCCCUCAGUGGCAGUACAGGUCAUGGACAUCAACAUGGUCUCCAGCAGCAACAAGGCCCCUGACAUCAGCACAGCUUCAGAUAUCAUCUGAUUGUUGUAACCGGCAGUCCAAUGAUGGUCAUUUUACAGUGGACAAGACUGGAAUAUGCAGAUUCCAUCAAUCUCUUUGGUUACCAGCUACACCAUUCAGCAGCAAGCAAAAGUGCAUGUGACUUCCUAGAGCAGAGAACGUGUAGUUAGAGCAGUCAUGAUCCAGCCUAAGAGGACAGAACCAGCAACAAAGGAGGUACUGCCUGUAUCCUUCAAAUUAACUCUGAGGAUUACUAGAUAAAGAUAUGUACAUGAAGAGAAAAGCAACCUCUGGGAGAUGGAUAUCAAGUUGUACACUGUGGGUUCAGACACUCCAUGCAUCAUCUUGAAGUAGAUGUAGUCAGUGUCUCUCCAUCACCUCAAAUUUGUAUGAUGAUAUUUUCGCCCUUCCUGGUGAUCUCGACCUCUGUGAAUGGGAUUGCUGCCGAUACAAGGGAGACCCAGGCACCUGGUCCAUCCUUCUGACAGAUAACAGUGAAGAACUGAAGGUGUUGAAAUAAAACGAGAUACUAUGCAGAUAACACCUUCAAGCUAAUGUGCCGGUCCUAGUACUGCUCCAAGGAAGACAAAGCCCUUCAAUUCUUACGUGUGGGAUGGGCAUCAAUUCGAAAGCAACAGGUAAGACAGGCAUGGAGGAGAUAUGAAAUAGAU
rnacentral:lncRNA from 1 species